rnacentral:lncRNA from 1 species
UAAUGUCGUAGGUGGGAAGCUUCCGCUGCAGAGCAAGCCAUAAGAUGAAGGAGUAACGAGGCACAUGCAGUGGGUACCAAAGCAGAAUGUGCCAUGGGACUUGAGGUCUAUGUUCCCGAAUAGAUUCCCAGAUUAAUGAGGCUUUUAAAGUAUCAAUGUUUGUAGAAUUCCAGAGAAUGGAGUCAUCAAUAUUAGGAGGAAUUGGAAUGGCUUCGAUCUGCCUGCUAAACAUUAUCAUCUCAUGAUGGAAGCUUUGU